rnacentral:rRNA from 1 species
UACAGAGGUCUCAAGCGUUGUUCGGAUUCAUUGGGCGUAAAGGGUGCGUAGGCGGCCAGGUAGGUCAGCUGUGAAAACUCGAGGCUCAACCUCGAGACGUCGGUUGAAACCAUCUGGCUAGAGUCCGGAAGAGGAGAGUGGAAUUCCUGGUGUAGCGGUGAAAUGCGCAGAUAUCAGGAGGAACACCAAUUGCGAAGGCAGCUCGCUGGGACGUUACUGACGCUGAGACGCGAAAGCGUGGGGAGCAAACAGG